AUUGAACGCUGGCGGCAGGCCUAACACAUGCAAGUCGAACGAGUGGCGGACGGGUGAGUAAUGUCUGGGAAACUGCCUGAUGGAGGGGGAUAACUACUGGAAACGGUAGCUAAUACCGCAUACCCUCAGAUGUGCCCACAUGGGAUUAGCUAGUUGGUGGGGUAACGGCUCACCAAGGCGACGAUCCCUAGCUGGUCUGAGAGGAUGACCAGCAACACUGGAACUGAGACACGGUAAAGACUCCUACGGGAGGCAGCAGUGGGGAAGAUUGCACAAUGGGCGAAAGCCGGAUGGAGCCAUGCCGCGUGUAGGAAGAAGGCCUUCGGGUUGUAAAGUACUUUCAGCGGGGAGGCGUUACCCGCAGAGGAAGCACCGGCUAACUCCGUGCCAGCAGCCGCGGUAAUAC
rnacentral:rRNA from 1 species